AAACAACUGUAGAGCUUCAUGAUAUUUAAGGGUAACUAUAUUGAUAAAGACAACAAAGAAAUAACAGAAUCAUCGUCUUCCUGCUCUGCUGCUGUCGCCUUCCAGACGUCAAAUUACUUUUACCAUUCAAGGUUUAACAUGUUCAAGUGUGAAGUAAAGAUAGAAAAUAAAGUUCAGCUUUUUACCUUCAGCUCUCAUCAAUCGGGUGAGAAAUUAUGAAGUUAAAAAUCUCUUGUAAAUAUAUUAAUCACAUAAAACAAUUUUUUUUCAGAAGUAUUGUUGACUUAUGCUCCAUUUUUAGAGAAAGACAAAACAACAACCACAUCGGCAGUUACAACUAUACCAGACAAAAGACAAGAAACUUGGGAAACCACAGUUACAACUAAACUAGAUGGAACAUCAGUCUGUAGAGAUGGAGCAGACUGGUGGAGGUUCCUCUCUGGUUCUGUGGGUUUAGCUGCUCUGAUAGCAGCUGUUCUGAUCGUCACCAUUUGGGCCAGAACUAAAGGGAGGAAAACACAUCUGGAUAAAAACACUGUGUGUUAUGAUGAAGAUGAAGCUGCUCUGAACUAUGAAAACAUCAGAACUUCUUCAGUUUGAUCCUCCUGCUUUUCUCAGACUCAGUAGAUCCAGAAGCUAAACAUCAGCAGGUUUAUCUGUUUUAAUGUUAUCUGCUGUAAUAAAAAACUGCUGAAAUGUUAAAAUAACAUCUUAAAAUAAGCAUAAGAAUUAAUUAUGUCAUCCUGAUAAGUAAAGCAGUAACUGAACAGUGUGGAGAAUUUUCCUUCUCCAUGCUGAGUUCUUGAUCUAUGAGGUUGAAGAAGAGUCAGUGAGUUGAAUUCAUGAAUUUCAUUUAUUAAUACCAAAAUGCAGCUGGUCCAUUUCUCAUGCUAUCCUUAAGGGCUAGCAGAACAAAAUGGCAUCAAACAAAGUUUGUCUUCCUCUUUGUUAGCCUCUAUCUGAACUACACCCUAAAGACGGCAUUUCCUAGUGUGUCAUUUCCUUUAAAUGUGUCAUUUCCUUUAAAUGUGUCCUUUCUUUUAAAUGACACCUUAGGGUCAUUUAAAGGAAAUGACCCUGGUCUGGAAAUAAAAUGUUAGGGCGUUUUCUAACAUGUCAUUUCCUUUAGCUUUAGCUUUGCAACUAGCUAAAAGAGAUAGAAGAAA